UACGUAGGGGGCAAGCGUUGUCCGGAAUCAUUGGGCGUAAAGAGCGUGUAGGCGGCCAGAAAAGUCCGCUGUGAAAACUCGAGGCUCAACUUCGAGCUGUCGGUGGAAACUUUCUGGCUAGAGUCCGGAAGAGGAGAAUGGAAUUCCUGGUGUAGCGGUGAAAUGCGCAGAUAUCAGGAGGAACACCGAUGGCGAAGGCAGUUCUCUGGGCCGUAACUGACGCUGAGGAGCGAAAGCGUGGGGAGCGAACAGG
rnacentral:rRNA from 1 species